rnacentral:rRNA from 1 species
GUCUACAGUCAUACCACCCUGAACAAGCCCCAUGUCUGAUCUCAGAAGCUAAUCAGGGUUGGGCCUGGUUAGUACUUGAAUGGGAGACCACCUGGGAAGACCAGGUGCUAUAGGCA